UACUCUUUGAAGCUUUCUUUAGGCCCCAUAGACAUGCUUUGUAGUUGCAUGCGGGUUGGCGCGAGGUCAGCAUUGUAUUGGUGUUGCUUGUAGAAAGCAACAACCAGAUCUUCCCAUGUAUGAAUGUUGGCACCGUCCAGUUGAUAGUACCACUCAAGUUGAGUUCCAGACAAGUUCUCUUGGAAGAAGUGGAUCCACAGCUUCUUAUCAGUAGUAUGAGGUUGAAUCGUCCUCACAUAGGAUUUCAAAUGCAGCUUGGGACAGGAAACUCCAUCAUACUUGGCAAAGGUAGGAGUCUUGAACUUGGGAGAGAUAACAACUCUAGACAUGAGCCUUAGCUCUUCAAAAUCCAGCUCAGGUACCUUCUGAAGUUCCAUGGCUUUCAUGCGAUCUUCCAGCAACUUAUAUUUUUCAUCAGGAUGUUCAUCCUCAUGGUAGUAUUCCUCUUCUUCUUCAGAGGGCUUAGAAGAAUCAUGGUUACUUCUUGCAUCUGUCUUGAUGCUACCAUCAUCAUUUUGAUCAUUCUUAUUGUCUUCAGGGACCUCCACCUCUUUGGCUUUCUUAACAGGGCCUCUGAAUCUUCUUCCCAUGCUAAGGACACUCACAGAUCUUCUUGGCUUUUUCUCCCUCUUGGUCAGGAGAGCUUUCAGCUCAUCUUGCCCCUUUGACAAGUUCAAGAUCAGAUCUUGAAAUUGGGCAUUCUGGGUUUGAAGGUCUUUGACUGACUGCUCGAGAUUCAUGAUGCUGAAAUAAACAGCGGGGUGGUUGAGAAACCUGUUAUGGAAACCUGUUAUUCGAUGUAAUGAAUGCAAAUGCAAUGUUUUCAAGGAUCUUUAGGAAUUUAGUUAGCAACAUUAGACAAUGACUUGGUCGCAUCUCUGUUUGAAGAACUCUGAUUUUCGUCUUGGGACGUCCUUCUUUGGGAAUCAAGCUCACCAUAUCGAGUGGGUCAUCGCCUCUGAUUCGGGAUACCUGAACUUCUGAAUUGUCUAGAGGAAAAUAAAUCCUCUCGCCCCUUGGUAGGAAUUUAGUCCUUGAUAAGAGCACCUGAAAUUGCGUGCUCUAAAUCCCUAAGAUCCUUGAAAGGGUUAGUUAAUAUGUUAUGUCAUGAUGUCAUGAUGUCAUGAUGUCAUGAUGUUAUGCGAAUGCAGUACAACAGGCAAAGCGUAAGGAAAAUAAGGGCAAGCGAGUCCCACGACAAAACCUGCAUGGAAAUCAAAGGGUUAGUAGCACACGCAAGCAAGUCACACAAGUGUCCUUAGGUUUAAAGGCUUGCAUGAAGUCCGUAGGUAAGUACCCUCCCCACUGAAGUUUAGUUAGUUCAACCUGUCCUAGAUAAAGAUCGGGUUUAGGGAUCUCAUAUCAUUGACCUUUCUAGAAGGCACUAUUUCAGUUCAGCAACCGAAUCACCGACUGAAAAUGUCCUGAAAGUCCAGUUCAUAUGAGUGUAGCAUAAGAAGACACAUUUUUUUCUUCAAUGGGAUACCGACACUUCUGAGCUUGUUACACGCAAUUGUUGAUGUAGUUUAGUAGAGCUGAACCGACAAUAAACUGUGGAAGAAUGUUAAUACAUUAAUGAGGCUAUUAAUUUGUCUCUCUUGAUGAAUCCAAGCGUGUGCGUGCGUGCGCGUGUGCGUGCAUGCGCGUGUGCGUGUGCGUACCACCAAAUAACAGCUCACAACAACAAAUCUGGCCGACCCCCACAGUUUUUGAUCAGGAUGUAUUCUUGUGUUUGAAAGUGGAGAGAGAUCAGUAUUUUAUUCUACUCAGAGAGAAAGAAGGAGAAAAGUGGAUCGAAAGCACAGAUAUAUAAGAGAGUUUUAUGCUUUUUUUGGAUAGUCUCUAUUUUUUUUCAAAAUCGUAUUGUCAUUAUUUUGUUGGGUCAGUCUCAGUUAUAAACGAAACAAUUCCAAGUAUUUGUGUAUUUCAUUUUGUUGAGCCAGUCUUAGAAAUAUUGGAUCUUUCAUUUCUUUUUUUUUAGUCUCUACACUAUUUAAUUUUGUUUAGACAUUUGUUAAUUUAUUUUGUUAAAGAAAUUUUUAAAAAGAUUAAAACUGAAAGUUGAUAUAUAUAAACAAAUAAAAAUAUAUUUGAUCCUACUCUAUACUAUACAAAUUUGUUGUGAUUUUUCCCGAUCCCUCCUCUUUUACUAUUAUCCUCCAUGUUUUUCUAUCUAGAUUUUUAUUUUAUUUUUUAAAAAAUACGUAUUAUAGCGGGUGCCUAACUCCGUGCCUGCAGCUACUUGCGCCGUGUACUUAUAGUGAAAUGCAGGUCAAAGACGUGGUCAUCAAUAUUGACGAAGACCUUGAAAUAUUUGAAAUUCAAGGGGAGAAUUUUCAAACCAGCUUUGUUGGAGAGUCCAACUCUAAUGCCCAAUCAUCUCUCAAAGAUGAGCAUCACUCAAGUGAAAUAUCUGAAAUCACAGGGGAGAAAGUUCAAACAAGCUUUGUUCGAGAGUCCAACUCUAUUGCUCAAUCAUCUCUCAAAGAUGAGGAUAGAUAAGUCAAAAUAAAGACUUUUGGGAGGUGAAUCUUUAGAAAUGGGAAGUCCAGAUUCUUUUUCUAAUCUCUGGUAGGUUCUUGUCGCGUUGUAUUAUUAAAGUUAUCAUUGUGUUUUGGAUUCAAAGAAAAUUUCAUUUGGAGAUCAAGCUUCUUUACUAUCUAUAUGCUUUGAAGAAAAUAAUUCAAAAUUGUUUGUGGUUAUUGCUACUUUUAGCAUGGUCUUUGUGGUUCCAUAAUCCACUUCACAGGGAUUUAUUGAAAUACUUGGAGAAAACAUUGUUUUGUUCAUGUCUGGCUCAUACAUAUGGCUCUUCAAAACCCUAAUUGCUGAAAUUUUAACCAAUCAUUUUUACCUCGGCAAAAUUGAAGAGGCGGUCGUCAAUCACUCAUUGAUUAAUAUGCUUUCUAGACCACAUAUGGUUGACAUUCAAAGGGGUAAAGCACAAGAGGAGGAAAGAUCAAGGAAUGAGAUUGAAUAUGGUGGUGGACUAAUUUUCAAUCUUUUGCAUAAGCUGAAUCCAAAAUUUGUGUCGUCUUUGGAAAUGAAGAGCUUGAUGAAAACAUUUACCUACAAAGCACUUGAUUUAGAAGACGACCAUUCCCCAUUUGUCGCAACUGAAAAGGAGGCUAAAGUAGCAACCGAACAAAUAUUCAAAAAUAUUGCUUUGUGUGGUUCCAGGU